CUUUAAAGCAUAGCGAGUCUGCACGCAGCCACGAAACGCUUCAUUCUUUUCCUUCUGAGUUUCGUGUCACCGCACCGUCCGAGAUCGACAGCUCUGCACUGUGAGCGAAUCGCCAGGAGGGUACAAGCCCGCCUGUGGCAGUGCUCUGAGGUCGUUGCCAUGACUACGACCUUUCCGAGACAGCCGCUGCCAUUUUGGCUCCGGUUUUCCCGUGACUGUCGCUGGAUUGCGGUGUGUGUCUUCGCCGAAACUUUGCAUUUUAAAAUAAACAGACUGAUAAAGAAAAUACAUGUAGAGGCCAUCUGUACUGGGAACUGAGUUCUGUCUUCAGAUAAAUGAACCAGAAAUGACACAGCCUUGAAAAAGACUAAAGCGAAACAUCCAAUAAACUAGAGUGGUCAAUGGAUGCCCCUUUACACUGAAAGGCCGCUUCUUUGAGUCCAUCUGCCCUUCACAAAUUAUUGAUGUCAAGUUACUGACAGCCUCGCAUGCUUAGACAAUGCCGUUUUAAGACGCAGGUUGCCAGGGACUGGCAUACUGUGCACAUGUGCAAUUCAGAAUGGGCAAGACGAAAGACUUAAGUGCCUUUGAACGUGGUAUGGUAGUGGGUGCCAGAUGUGCUGGCCUGAGUGUAUCCGAAACCUCAAACCUUUUGGGGUUUUCACGUACAACAGUGUCACGAGUGUAUCGAGAAUGGGCUGCCACUCAAAAAACAUCCAGUCAACGGUGGACUUGUGGUCGGAAGCAGACUGUGGAUAAAACGGGCAAAGAGAGGCUGACGCAACUUGUGCAAAGUAACAGGGAGGCUACAAUCCGCCAGUUAACGGCCGAGUACAACAGUGGAGCUAAAAGAGUGAUAUCAGAACGUACCACCCGUCGUACGCUGGCACAGAUGGGAUAUACAAAAGUUAGCACACUAUGUCGGAAAUAAAUCCUUUCAAAUUAAAUGAAUCAACAUACGUGUACAAACGACUAAAACCGUAUAUUUAAACACACAGGAAAAGUAAAGGAUGGUACAUAAAAUACAAAAAGAAAAGCUGAACACAGUUGCUACGCUGUCUUUUGUAUAGAAUGGCAUCCUCAUAUAUGAAAUACCACAAUCAUAAAUGUGGACAGUGGCAACAAAGGUACUGGAAUGUAAUAAAUGUAUAUUUCUGAAAAUCCAAGAUGAGCCACCAUUAGGGCAUUCGAUGUUUUCAGACCCACAAAAUCUUAUUUUAGAGUCCUAGGAGGUCGGCGUCAAUUCUGGCAAAACUGAGUACAUGGCAGGGCAAAUGUAUACACCUGCUUAUAUCAUAUCCAGUUUAUAAUAUCUGUUUGCUGAAAUGUAAUCAGUAAAGAUAUCAAUGCACAGAAAUUGUCAAAUUUAAUAUAUAUGUGUAUAUAUAAAUAUAUAAAAACUGAGUGAAUUGUGCCAAAAGUUGGACAUUAAUAAUUAGGAACAUUGAAAGUGAAAUCUUAGUACAAAACUGAGUCAAAGAAAAAAGACUGAAUACAUGCAGAGAACAUAUAAACGUUCAGUCAAAAAGCAAAUUUAAAUUGAAAUCGUUUUAAACAGCAUAAUAAGAAAUAAAAAAAUCGGAGUAUGUUAGGAACCUCCGGUGUGUUCACCUUGAAGUCAGUUAGCCAGCACCUCUGGGCAGGACAUCUUUAAAGGUGUGGCUACCGCCCUCACAGCUCUUCUGAUUGGCUGGGACAUCCUGUGGUAUUUUGUUUUAACAUACACAGCCCCAUAAAGAUGAAGAUGGUGAUGAUGAUGAUGAUAGAGGUGUCUUGUGGUUCUUCAGAACUCCACAAUUGUCAUUUUCAGUCUCGGAGACAAAGAUGUGCUGGAAUUGUUUUAGGUCACCUCUGUGUUUCAGGUUGCCGUCCUGUUGAUGCUCUUGCUAUUGACCACAUUGCAGUGUGUCCUUCAGCUCACCUUUCUUUUAAGAUUGUGAAUUUUUAUAAUACCAAUGGAAACAAUGCUGGAUUGAUCACCAACUUUCUAGAUGCUUGGUUACACUCAUUAAACUAUGAGAAUUUGUUUGACCCUCAUUGCCUGUCACUGCUUAAUUGGACCUAAUUGUCACCUUUUCAGCUUUUAAUUCUCCUGUUAAAGCUAAAAGUAAUAUGUUUGAUGUAAUGAUUCCAAAUAUAUCAACUUCUCAGUUGCAUGUCUUUCACCA